ensembl:lncRNA
GAUCAAGGGUCAGCGAACACGCGAGUCUGGAGCCAGCCAGAAAGGAUGCCCUCUGCCCUCUGUCAGCUCUCCAAUCCCUUUAGCAAUACAUUGCUGGCUGCUGCUGCUAAGUCGCUUCAGUUGUGUCCGACUCUUUGUGACCCCAUGGACUGUAGCCCACUAGGCUCCUCUGUCUCCGGGAUUCUCCAGGCAAGAACACCGGAGUGGGUUGCCAUUUCCUUCUCCAAACAUAUUGCUGGAGGAUUCUCCCAACAAGCCCGCACUUGGGCUCAGCAGAAGGGAGUCCACCCACCCUUGGCACCAGACGUAGACGAUCUGCUGGCAACCAACAGUCAGGUGCCAACUCCGGCCGUGGCUGAACAAAGCACCUCGGGGCAUGCAAUCUGACCUCAUGACGGCCCACCCCAGUUGACUGGCAGUGCUGGAGAAGACUCUUGAGAGUCCCUUGGACAGCAAGGACAUCAAACCAGUCCAUCCUAAAGGAAAUCAACCCUGACUAUUCAUUGGAAGGACUGAUGAUGAAGCUGAAGCUCCAAUCCUUUGGCCACCUGAUGCAAAGAGCUGACUCAGUGGAAAGACCCUGAUGCUGGGAAAGAUUGAGGGCGGGAGAAGGGGACGACAGAGGAUGAGAUGGUUGGAUGGCAUCACCAACUCGAUGGACAUGAUUUUGAGCAAGCUUCAGGAGUUGGUGAUGGACAGGGAAGCCUGGCAUGCUGCAGUCCAUGGGGUCACAGAGAGUCUAACACGACUUAGCGACUGAAUAACAACAAGAAUGUUGACACUCGUGUGUGAGGAGGGAAGACCAAUGAAUCAGGCACAUGUUCACAGCUGCUCAUCACUGCACUCAGGACCAGACCGAAAGGAACAUCUGUUCUCACACAAAAGUCUCUCAUUCAUGAGAACCAGGAGUGACACACAGUUUUCAUCCUGAGACACACUCAUAACCGAGGGCGGUCACUCCUGGUCUAAGGCAUCGGGAGGUCAUCAGGGGCAGCGGUGUCCAACGUUUUGGGCACCAGACACCAGUUUCAUGGAAGACAGAUUUUCCAUGGAUCGGGGUCUGCAGAUGGGUUUGGGAUGAUUCAAGCAUGCUACAUUUAUCAAUCCCUGGGUCAUGAAGAUCCCCUGGAGGAAGAAAUGGCAACCCACGCCAGUAUUCUUGCCUGGGAAAUCCCAUGAACAGAGGAGCCUGGAAGGCCACAGUCCAUGGGGUAGCAAAGAGUCGGACACGACUGAACGACUUCACUUUAUUUCUCUUAUUAUGACAUGAGGUCCACUUCAGGUCAUCAGGCAUUAGAUCCUGGAAGCUGGGGACCCCCGGUCUAGCUGAAGAUCCUAUAGGCUGGGGACCUCCGAUCUGGGUGAAGUCACCCCGGUAGAGGUUUGCUUUUCCAACACUUUCCACAUCAACAGUUCAUACCGUGGAGGACACACCCACUGGCAGACAGCAAGAGAUCCCUGUGCAUGAAGGGAACUGAGGCUUGACAAGGUUGCAUGGCCUAAAGACACAGGAGCCAUCAGAACCAUCCGAUUACAAGCCUGGCCCGGUGUGUCCGUGAACUUUAUUUGCUCUGGAAAUUACUAGGGUGCUUUCACUAGCUGUCCCUUCCAUUUGCUCAAAAGUUAAUUUAAGAGAAUCUCCACCUUCCCUGAUAGCUCAGUUGGUAAAGAAUCUACCUGCAGUGCAGGAGACCCCGGGUUGAUCCCUGGGUCAGGAAGAUCCCAUGGAGAAGGGAAAGGCUACCUACUCCAGCAUUCUGGCCUAGAGAAUUCCAUGGACAGUCCACGGGGUCGCAAAGAGUCGGACACGACUGAGCAACUUUCACUUUCCCCCUGAAAAGACACUGAGUGUGUGUGUACGAGAGACACGCGGCCUGAACGAUCAAGUCUAGGACUCCCUUUCUCUACAGUAACGAUUAAAAUGAGGUCUACGCGUGCGUUGAUUGGCUGCUUGAAAGCCAAGAGAAGGAUUUCUUCCAAAACAGGCCACUGUGAACACAGAGGGGGAAGGAGAGGUUGGAACAGAGGGAGACGGUAGCAUUGAAACACACACGUUACCGUAUGUAAAACAGAUGUGUGCUCAGCUGCUCACUCAUGUCCGACUCUUUGCAACCCCAUGGACUGUUGCCCGCCAGGCUCCUCUGUCCAUGGGAUUGUCCAGGCAAGAAUACUGGAUUAGGAAGAUCCCCUGGAGAAGGGAAAGGCUACCCACUCCAGUAUUCUGGCCUGGAGAAUUCCACGGGGUUGCAAAGAGUCGGACACGACUGAGCGACUUUAGAAGAAAGCAUAUUCAGUGACACCAGUUACCACAAAAAAUAGCACGUGAGAAAUGACAAAGGCUUGAAGUAAAGCAGUGCCCAGAGGAACUGAGCCAGAUUCAGAUCUGGAAUAAACGACUGGAUUCAGAGGACAGAAGAAGGAGAACUGCAUUUCCUAAUUAGGCACACAAGGCAUUGGGGUGCCUCUGAUUCAGGCACCCGGAGAAUCCAGCUGGAAGUCUGCAACGUAUUCAAGUAAACUGGUGUUCAUGAGAAAUCUCACCUACGCACUCAUCUCCAGCGCUGCGGCAGGAGGUCAUCACAAACGCAGUGGCUUCGCACAAGUCAAAUUUAUUAUCUUACAGUUCUGAAGGCUAAAAGUCCAAGAUGGGUUUCACGAGGCCAACGAGAAGAUGUCUGCAGGAAUCCAGUACCUUCCGGAAGCUCGGCGCUAUGGACUGUAGCCCUCCCGGCUCCUCUGUCCAUGCAGAUUCUCCAGGCAAGAAUACUGGACCGAGUUGCCAUGCCCUCCUCCUCCAGGGGAUCUUCCCAACCCAGGGAUCGAACCUGCACCUCUUACGUCUCCUGCAUUGCCAGGUGGGUUCUUUACCACUAGCACCACCUGGGAAGCCCACCUUCUACAGCAGUGGUCCCCAACCUUUUUGGCACCUCGGAUGGGUUUCAUGAAAGAUAAUUUUUCCACAGACUGGCAGCAGGUGUCAGGGGGAUGGUUUGAGGAUGAAUCAAGCAUAUUACAUUUUAUUUCUUUAUUUCCUUUAUUAUUACAUCCUCUCUGUGCUGGCUUCCCUGAUGGCUCAGACGGUAAAGAAUCGCCUGCAAUGUGGGAGACCUGGGUUCGAUCCCUGAGUCGGGAAGAUCCCCUGGAGAAGGGCACGGCAACCCAUUCCAGUAUUCUGACCUGGAGAAUCCCAUGGACCAGAGGAGCCUGGUGGGCUCAGUCCAGGGGGUCACAAAGAGUCACACACAGCUGAAAGAGGUAGCUGUGAAGGUUUGGACAUCGGAUUUGACACUCCACAGUGCAGAGGCCAGAACAUGAAGCUGGGGUUUUCCAGCCCAAUGAGGGGACUGAGAACUGUCUCAGAGAUGAAUCUUCAGGGUGGAGAAGGAAGACAUGUCUGUGAAGAAAAGAAAGAAAAUGCAGCAGGAGGAGAAAAGGCAACCAGGAGAGAAUCACAAAAGUAAGACGUGGGUAAGGGGAAAGGUGUGAACCAUGGUUUCUGACUGGGCAAAAAGCUAUGCCUGAGAAACUCUUGACAUGUUGCAAUAGUGUACAAACAGCCCCGGAGGUAACAGGUUUAAUUCUGACCACAGCAAAGACACAUAAAACAUUGCUAUUUCUGUUUGAUAAUGUACAUUGUAUAAAACAUGGCAAACAUAUAUACAUGAUUUCACAUUUCUGUACACGUUUGAAUCUCGUCUGAAAUCCUCUACCCAUAAAUGGAGAGUCAGACUGAAGAGAGCUAUUCUAAGUAAGAAUUUUCCAUGGACUGUUAUGGCUGGAUGCAGUGAACUUGAAAUUAAAAAAAAAAAUCUCCUUGGUGGUUUCAUUUACAUUAAUGCGGUGCAUUCCUGUGAAAUGUCUGUAUCUACUGAUGAAUAAUCAACCCUUCUUAACUCUAACAAAAAGAUUUAUCACAGAAGGACCACAUCAGUGGGAGUUUGAGUUAGCAUGACUUUGGAGAGUAAUUUUUUGUCGUUCUGUAAGUUUGUUUUUAUCUCCCUUUCAGUAAGUCUUAAAAUAUUCAGUUAAUUUGAUAAUACUCUUUUUAAGAUGCAGUCUACAAACACACACACACAUACACACACACACACGGCUUCCCUUAUAGCUCAGCAGUAAAGAAUCCACCUCCAAUGCAGGAGACACGGGUUGGAUCCCUGGGUGGGGAAGAUCCCCUGGAGAAGGGAACAGCAACCCACUUCAGUAUUCUUGCCUGGGAAAUCCCAUGGACAGAGGAGACUGUUGGGCUACAGUUCAUGGGGUCACAAAGAGUCAGACACGACUGAAGCGACUAAGCAGAACUACAAAGGUAAAUCUUCUGGCCUAUUCACGAAUGGUUUCAGGAGAGACUGCAGGCAGAGAUGGCUGUCAGAAAGUCAGUGAGGCUCUUCUGGAGAGAGGCUCUAAGUCUGAGCUGGGACAUGGUGAACCAACUAGGAGCAGAUCAUACGAGACCCUAAGAAAUGGGAGAGGAGAGUUCUGAGGUUUUGAGAUGGGCCAGUGGCAAAGUAAACAAUUCAAACUGGAAAAAGAGGAAGCAGAGCUCUGUGGAGACACUGACCAGCCAGGUGGCCACUGGAAGACUCACAGAGCUUAAGGGGAGGACUGGAGAAGAGGGAGGUUUGAAAGCGAGGUUAGCUGCUGAGAUGCAAGUGCUUAUAGCAGAGACACACCUUUUUUUUUUUUGCUUCCUUUAUUGCCUCCCGAAAUAUUCCUCUAUUUUCCCCCAUGUUAAACUUUUUAUUUUGUAUUGAGGUAUAGCUGAUUAACAGUCUUGUGAUGAUUUCAGACAGACAACAAAGGCACUCAGCCAUACAUGGACACGUAUCUAUUCUCUCCCAAACUCCCCUCCCAUCCAGGCUGCCACAUGACACUGAGCAGAGUUCCCUGUGCUGUCCAGCAGGUCCUUGCUGGUUCUCCGUGUUAAAUACAGCAGUGUGUCCAUGUCCAUCCCAGACUCCCUGACUAUCCCUUCCCCCAUCCUUCCCCCUGGUGACCAUAAGGUUAUUACAGAGGAUUGAGCAGAGUUCCCUGUGCUGUCCAGCAGGUCCUUGCUGGUUCUCCAUGUGAAAUACAAUGGUGUGUACACGUCCAUCCCAAACUCUCUAACUAUAGUAUGGCAACCCUUAUAAGCAGAAUCUAAAAAGCAAUGGUAGAAAUGCACUGAUGUACAAACAAAUUCAGAAACAGAUUCACAAACUUAAAGAACGAACUCAAGGUUCCCACUUAAGGGGAAGGAUGCAGGGAAGAGACA